rnacentral:rRNA from 1 species
UACAGAGGUCUCAAGCGUUGUUCGGAUUCAUUGGGCGUAAAGGGUGCGUAGGUGGCGCUGUAAGUCGGGUGUGAAAUUUCGGAGCUUAACUCCGAAACUGCAUUCGAUACUGCGGUGCUUGAGGACUGGAGAGGAGACUGGAAUUCAUGGUGUAGCAGUGAAGAUGCGUAGAGAUCAUGGGGAAGACCAGUGGCGAAGGCGGGGUCUCUGGACAGUUCCUGACGCUGAGGCACGAAGGUCAGGGGAGCAAACGGG